rnacentral:rRNA from 1 species
GACGGAGGAUGCAAGCGUUAUCCGGAACGAUUGGGCGUAAAGCGUCCGCAGGUGGCAGUUCAAGUCUGCUGUCAAAGACCGGGGCUUAACUUCGGAAAGGCAGUGGAAACUGAACAGCUAGAGUAUGGUAGGGGCAGAGGGAAUUCCUGGUGUAGCGGUGAAAUGCGUAGAGAUCAGGAAGAACAUCGGUGGCGAAGGCGGCUUCUGGUCUGUAACUGACGCUGAGGCGCGAAAGCGUGGGGAGCAAACAGG